UCCCAUCCCGAACACGGCCGUUAAGACCCCUAGCGCCGAUGGUACUGCGUCUUAAGGCGUGGGAGAGUAGGUCGCUGCCCGGU
rnacentral:rRNA from 1 species